rnacentral:rRNA from 1 species
GAUGAACGCUGGCGGCGUGCCUAAUACAUGCAAGUCGAGCGAAUGGAUUAAGAGCUUGCUCUUAUGAAGUUAGCGGCGGACGGGUGAGUAACACGUGGGUAACCUGCCCAUAAGACUGGGAUAACUCCGGGAAACCGGGGCUAAUACCGGAUAACAUUUUGAACCGCAUGGUUCGAAAUUGAAAGGCGGCUUCGGCUGUCACUUAUGGAUGGCCCCGCGUCGCAUUAGCUAGUGGGUGAGGUAACGGCUCACCAAGGCAACGAUGCGUAGCCGACCUGAGAGGGUGAUCGGCCACACUGGGACUGAGACACGGCCCAGACUCCUACGGGAGGCAGCAGUAGGGAAUCUUCCGCAAUGGACGAAAGUCUGACGGAGCAACGCCGCGUGAGUGAUGGAGGCUUUCGGGUCGUAAAACUCUGUUGUUAGGGAAGAACAAGUGCUAGUUGAAUAAGCUGGCACCUUGACGGUACCUAACCAGAAAGCCACGGCUAACUACGUGCCAGCAGCCGCCGUAA